rnacentral:rRNA from 1 species
UACGAAGGGGGCUAGCGUUGUUCGGAAUUACUGGGCGUAAAGGGCGCGUAGGCGGCCUUGUCAGUCAGAUGUGAAAGCCCCGGGCUCAACCUGGGAACCGCAUUUGAUACUGCAAGGCUCGAGUUCCGGAGAGGAUGGUGGAAUUCCCAGUGUAGAGGUGAAAUUCGUAGAUAUUGGGAAGAACACCGGUGGCGAAGGCGGCCAUCUGGACGGACACUGACGCUGAGGCGCGAAAACGUGGGGAGCAAACAGG